CCUAAUAAAGAUGUGCUUGAAAAAUUUAUUGUUUUUUUGUUUGAUAUUAAGUGCAUCUAAAUGCGAUGAGGAAGAUUUAAAACAAGUAAACGAAAUAUUGAAAGAUCGUACGGUUGUAGCAAAUUUGGUUAAUUGUUUGAUGGAACAAGGGCCAUGUAGUGCUUUAGAUGAUAAAUUUAAAAAUUUGCUACCAGUGAUAUUGGAGACUGGUUGUGAAGACUGUUCACAUGUGGAAAAAAUGGGACUCAAACAAGUGCUUAGUGCUUUCGCACAACAUCAUCCAGAUAUAUUAAAGCAACUGGAAGAAAAGUAUGAUCCUAACGGCGAAUAUCGGGAGAGAUAUGAGUCAUUUAUUAAAAGUUAAUGAACAAAAAUAAACAUGUUAUAACGUAAA